GGGAACUCACUGGCUUCGGAUUACAUUGAAACUCCGAAGUUAAGAGAGUUCGGGCAAGAGCAAUCUUAGGAUGGGUGACCCACUGGGAAGUUCUUGUUUGAGUUCCCAAAAACAAAUUCGUAAGGGAAUAGUAAGCCCAAAGUGAACAAUAUUGUACUACGGCGGAGGCGAGUUUAGGAUGUGACAGAAUGGUAUCAGAGCCAUUUUGUCGUUCGGUCACUGGCGAGGACGCCAGGUUCCCCUUAAGUGGGGUGGAUUGUAUGAUCCCAUAUCGACUAACAUAGAUGGGGUGAUAUGCCUUAUAUGUACAUGCUCAUCUCCCUAUAGUACGAGGCCUUUUGGGAAUCAUUGGCUUCGGAUUCCAUCGGAACUCCAAAGUUAAGCAAAUUCGGACGAGAGCAAUCCUAGGAUGGGUACCCCACUAGGAAGUUCUCGUCUGAGUUCUC
rnacentral:sRNA from 1 species